rfam:Pasteurellaceae bacterium NI1060 genome.
AACGCACCUAGGCUGAUCCCCGAAAGCAAGACACCUUAUCUUGUUGGUGCGUUCCUAUCAUAAGGG